rnacentral:tRNA from 1 species
AGGAAGUUGGUGUAAUGGCAACACAACAGUCUCCAAAACUGCAAGUUUAGGGUUCGAAUCCUUAACUUCCUG